AGAGUUUGAUCCUGGCUCAGGAUGAACGCUAGCUACAGGCUUAACACAUGCAAGUCGAGGGGAAACGACAUCGAAAGCUUGCUUUUGAUGGGCGUCGACCGGCGCACGGGUGAGUAACGCGUAUCCAACCUGCCCACCACUUGGGGAUAACCUUGCGAAAGUAAGACUAAUACCCAAUGAUAUCUCUAGAAGACAUCUGAAAGAGAUUAAAGAUUCAUCGGUGAUGGAUGGGGAUGCGUCUGAUUAGCUUGUUGGCGGGGUAACGGCCCACCAAGGCAACGAUCAGUAGGGGUUCUGGGAGGAAGGUCCCCCACAUUGGAACUGAGACACGGUCCAAACUCCUACGGGGCAGCA
rnacentral:rRNA from 1 species